rnacentral:rRNA from 1 species
UUUGAAAAUCAAUUCCCGGUACCCGAAACCGACACAGGUGGGCAAGUAGAGAAUACUAAGGGGCGCGAGUUAACUCUCUCCAAGGAACUCGGCAAAAUGACCCCGUAACUUAGGGAGAAGGGGUGCCACCGAGAGGUGGUCGCAGUGAAGAGGCCCAGGCGACUGUUUAGCAAAAACAUAGGUCUCUGCAAACUCGAAAGAGGAGGUAUAGGGGCUGACGCCUGCCCAGUGCCGGAAGGUUAAAGAAGUUGGUCAGUUUUAGGAUGAGGCUAGCGACUGAAGCCCCGGUGAACGGCGGCCGUAACUAUAACGGUCCUAAGGUAGCGAAAUUCCUUGUCGGGUAAGUUCCGACCCGCACGAAAGGCGUAACGAUCUGGGCGCUGUCUCGGAGAGAGGCUCGGCGAAAUAGGAUUGUCUGUGAAGAUACGGACUACCUGCAUUUGGACAGAAAGACCCUAUGAAGCUUUACUAUAGCUUGGAAUUGUGUUCGGGCUUCCUGUGCGCAGGAUAGGUGGGAGGCGUAGAAGGUAUUCUUGUGGGGAUACUGGAGCCAACGGUGAGAUACCACUCUCAGGAGGCUAGAAUUCUAACUUAAUUAAGGACAGUUUCAGGUGGGUAGUUUGACUGGGGCGGUCGCCUCCAAAAAGGUAACGGAGGCGUACAAAGGUUCCCUCAGACUGGUUGGAAAUCAGUCGAAGAGUGCAAAGGCAGAAGGGAGCUUGACUGCGAGAAGUACAGUUCGAGCAGGGUGGAAACACGGUCUUAGUGAUCCGACGGUGCUGUGUGGAAGGGCCGUCGCUCAACGGAUAAAAGUUACUCUAGGAUAACAGGCUGAUCUCCCCCAAGAGUUCACAUCGACGGGGAGGUUUGGCACCUCGAUGUCGGCUCAUCGCAACCUGGGGCGGAAGUACGUCCCAAGGGUUGGGCUGUUCGCCCAUUAAAGCGGUACGUGAGCUGGGUUCAGAACGUCGUGAGACAGUUCGGUCCAUAUCCGAUGUAGGCGUGAGAAUAUUGAGAGGAGCCUUCCUUAGUACGAGAGGACCGGGAAGGACGCACCGCUGGUGUACCUGUUAUGAUGCCAAUUGUAAACGCAGGGUAGCCAAGUGCGGAGAGGAUAACCGCUGAAAGCAUCUAAGUGGGAAGCCCACCUCAAGAUGAGUAUUCUGGUGUAAGGUCACGGGAAGACGACCCGUAAAUAGGCACGAGGUGGAAGUGCAGAGAUGUAUGAAGCCGAAGUGUACUAAUAGACCGUCGGCUUGACC